CUUCCGUAGGUGAACCUGCGGAAGGAUCAUUACCGAGUGAGGGCCCUCUGGGUCCAACCUCCCACCCGUGUCUAUCGUACCUUGUUGCUUCGGCGGGCCCGCCGUUUCGACGGCCGCCGGGGAGGCCUUGCGCCCCCGGGCCCGCGCCCGCCGAAGACCCCAACAUGAACGCUGUUCUGAAAGUAUGCAGUCUGAGUUGAUUAUCGUAAUCAGUUAAAACUUUCAACAACGGAUCUCUUGGUUCCGGCAUCGAUGAAGAACGCAGCGAAAUGCGAUAAGUAAUGUGAAUUGCAGAAUUCAGUGAAUCAUCGAGUCUUUGAACGCACAUUGCGCCCCCUGGUAUUCCGGGGGGCAUGCCUGUCCGAGCGUCAUUGCUGCCCUCAAGCACGGCUUGUGUGUUGGGCCCCCGUCCCCCUCUCCCGGGGGACGGGCCCGAAAGGCAGCGGCGGCACCGCGUCCGGUCCUCGAGCGUAUGGGGCUUUGUCACCUGCUCUGUAGGCCCGGCCGGCGCCAGCCGACACCCAACUUUAUUUUUCUAAGGUUGACCUCGGAUCAGGUAGGGAUACCCGCUGAACUUAAGCAUAUCAAUAAGCGGAGGAA
rnacentral:rRNA from 3 species